rnacentral:rRNA from 1 species
GAUGAACGCUAGCGAUAGGCUUAACACAUGCAAGUCGAGGGGCAGCAUGGUCUUAGCUUGCUAAGACUGAUGGCGACCGGCGCACGGGUGCGUAACGCGUAUGCAACUUGCCUCACAGAGGGGGAUAACCCGUCGAAAGACGGACUAAUACCGCGUACACUCUAUUUUGGGCAUCCAAGGUAGAGGAAAUGAAAUUCGCUGUGAGAUAGGCAUGCGUCCCAUUAGCUAGUUGGUGAGGUAACGGCUCACCAAGGCGACGAUGGGUAGGGGAACUGAGAGGUUGAACCCCCACACUGGUACUGAGACACGGACCAGACUCCUACGGGAGGCAGCAGUGAGGAAUAUUGGUCAAUGGGCGAGAGCCUGAACCAGCCAAGUCGCGUGAAGGAUGACUGUCUUAUGGAUGGUAAACUUCUUUUGUAGGGGAAUAAAGAGGGGCACGUGUGCCCCAGUGAAGGUACCCUACGAAUAAGCAUCGGCUAACUCCGUG